UACGUAGGGCGCAAGCGUGUCCGGAAUUAUUGGGCGUAAAGAGCUCGUAGGCGGUUUGUCACGUCGGCUGUGAAACCCGAGGCUCAACCUCGGGCCUGCAGUCGAUACGGGCAGACUAGAGUGCUGUAGGGGAGACUGGAAUUCCUGGUGUAGCGGUGGAAAUGCGCAGAUAUCAGGAGGAACACCGGUGGCGAAGGCGGGUCUCUGGACAGUUCCUGACACU
rnacentral:rRNA from 1 species